ACCUGACUUACUCCGUUUAUGCUCCUCAAAUCAACAAGAUCUUGCACUGUGAACAAGUUCAGGUUGGUGAGUGUGAGGAAGUACGGGCCAGUGUCCAGAUGGAGAAGCAGGGACUUAUUCGCUGUCUGGAAUUCCUGAAGACCAAGGACAUCAAGGUGCGCUCUUUGACAACUGACCGACACCGCUCAAUAGCGAAGCACAUGAGGGAGGUGGAGCCUGAAGUUCUUCACUACUUUGAUGUGUGGCACGUAUCGAAAAGUAUAAAGAAGGCUAUCACAGCGGCAAGCAAGAC